AAUCAACGCUGGCGGCGUGCCUCAGACAUGCAAGUCGAACGAUUAAAGCUCUCUUCGGAGAGUGUAUAGAGCGGCGCACGGGUGAGUAACACGUAAGUAAUCUACCUUCGAGUGGGGAAUAACGUCCGGAAACGGACGCUAAUACCGCAUAAUGCAGCGGCAUCGCAAGAUGACAGUUGUUAAAGAUUUAUCGCUUGAAGAGGAGCUUGCGGCAGAUUAGCUAGUUGGUAAGGUAAUGGCUUACCAAGGCUACGAUCUGUAACCGGUCUAAGAGGACGGUCGGUCACACUGACACUGAAUAACGGGUCAGACUCCUACGGGAGGCAGCAGUCGGGAAUUUUGGGCAAUGGGCGAAAGCCUGACCCAGCAACGCCGCGUGAAGGAUGAAGUAUUUCGGUAUGUAAACUUCGAAAGAAUAGGAAGAAUAAAUGACGGUACUAUUUAUAAGGUCCGGCUAACUACGUGCCAGCAGCCGCCGUAAGAC
rnacentral:rRNA from 1 species